CUUAAAUGUCAAAAAGCACACCCCACCCCGGGGACUCUGAGCCCACAGAAAGAGACCCUCUAAGGGCCCAUGGAGUGGUCUUUCUGAGGCUGGCUCUGUGAUGAGAGUCGGUUUCACACCUGGCCAGGCACUUCCGGGCCACAGAGCCCCCACCAGAGCAUCUCAGCAACUUGAUCCCACAGAGGACUGUAGACAUUGUUCACAGAGAUGACACCGAACUGCACCUGGCAAUUUUCUUGGAAAAAAACAUCACCGCUAACCAAACCAGAGGCAACCGUCUCUCCUGUAAGAAAGCAGUUCCCACCUCCCAGUUCACGGAGAAAUUCCCCUGUGUCAGCCGUUGGUCAUCACAUGCUUCGCAAGUCAUUUGCUUCUGGAAAUGCGGAAGGCAGCCGGCUGUGAAAUCUCCCAGAACUUGGGGGAAGGAGGCCCGUGCCUCACCCAUGUCUCAGUACCUUGCCAUCAGCCAUGUAAAGGAUCUAAAGAAGCCCCACGAGCUGAAUUUGGAUUGCUCGAUAUAGGACUCAUCCCCACAGCAGAGCCUGAGAACAUGUUGUCUUUGUGCCUGGAGCUGUUGUGCCUGGACCACUCAAGAAGGUUACCUCCCACCUCAUCUAUGCUCUGUUCCAGGCAAUACUCGUGACUGUGAGCAAUCUUAUCAAAAUUUCUUUAAUGUUGAUGCCAUCCCCAAAAGCAUUCAAGCUGCAAAUCGGGAAAUCUGUCACAUUGCCAUCCUCAUUCAACUGUCCAAAGAUUGUUUGAACCCAUUGUAAAAAUAAAUAAAUAAAUAAAUAAAUAAAUAAAUAAAUAAAUAAAUUCCUCGACUGGCUGUCCUCUGAACCCAGAAACUGGGUUUAUGAUGUUCCAAUCAUUAGUCUUCUUUUUCUUUCCAUAGAAACCAUCCCCCUCAUUGACGCCUGCUUUCUUGCCUUGUUAAGUCUCAACACAUGAUUCCAUUAGUAUGUCAACAACAGAAAUAUGUUGAAACAAACUACAUAGACAACAUUUCUUAUAUAAAUCUUCUCCCAGCCUCAUGUGUUUUAUGAGCCAAGAAUGUCUGUCUUGAGGACUUGGCGCCAUCCCUUAGAAAUGUCAUCAUCAA
rnacentral:lncRNA from 1 species